GAUGAAGAACGUAGCGAAAUGCGAUAAGUAAUGUGAAUUGCAGAAUUCAGUGAAUCAUCGAAUCUUUGAACGCACCUUGCGCUCCUUGGUAUUCCAAGGAGCAUGCCUGUUUGAGUAUCAUUAAAUUAUCAACUGUGCCAAUUUGGUUACAGAUUGGAUGUGGGAGAUUCUUUUUGCAGGCCUUUGACUUCUCUUUGAGAAAAAAAAUAAAAGGUCGGCUCUCCUGAAAUGUAUUAGCAGUGCCUUUGUUAGUUCAUUAGGUGUGAUAAAUUGUCUACAUCUUCGCAUGAUACCUUCAUUUGUAAAGGUCAUAUUGCUUCUAAAUUGUCUUUGAUUGGACGCAAAACAUAUAUAAUGUUUGACAAACUUGAUCUCAAAUCAGGCAGGACUACCCGCUGAACUUAAGCAUAUCAAUAAGCGGAGGA
rnacentral:misc_RNA from 1 species